GACGUAGGGCGCGAGCGUUGUCCGGAUUAUUGGGCGUAAGAGCUCGUAGGCGGCUUGUCGCGUCGAAUGUGAAAUCUCGGGGCUCAACUCCGAGCUUGCAUUCGGAUACGGGCAGGCUAGAGUUCGGGUAGGGGAGACUGGAAUUCCUGGUGUAGCGGUGAAAUGCGCAGAUAUCAGGAGGAACACCAGUGGCGAAGGCGGUGCUCUGGCCGGAACUGACGCUGAGGAGCGAAAGCGUGGGGAGCAAACAGG
rnacentral:rRNA from 1 species